rnacentral:rRNA from 1 species
UACGGAGGGGCUAGCGUUGUUCGGAAUUUACUGGGCGUAAAGCGCACGUAGGCGGACUGUUAAGUCGGGGGUGAAAUCCUGGGGCUCAACCUCAGAAUUGCCUCCGAUACUGGCAGUCUCGAGUGCGGGAGAGGUGAGUGGAAUUUCCAGUGUAGAGGUGAAAUUUCGUAAGAUAUUGGGAAGAACACCAGUGGCGAAGGCGGCUCACUGGCCCGUAACUGACGCUGAGGUGCGAAAGCGUGGGGAGCAAACGGG